rnacentral:rRNA from 1 species
AGUGAACGCUGGCGGUAGGCCUAACACAUGCAAGUCGAACGGCAGCACAGUAAGAGCUUGCUCUUACGGGUGGCGAGUGGCGGACGGGUGAGGAAUACAUCGGAAUCUACUUUUUCGUGGGGGAUAACGUAGGGAAACUUACGCUAAUACCGCAUACGACCUACGGGUGAAAGCAGGGGAUCUUCGGACCUUGCGCGAUUGAAUGAGCCGAUGUCGGAUUAGCUAGUUGGCGGGGUAAAGGCCCACCAAGGCGACGAUCCGUAGCUGGUCUGAGAGGAUGAUCAGCCACACUGGAACUGAGACACGGUCCAGACUCCUACGGGAGGGAGCAGUGGGGAAUAUUGGACAAUGGGCGCAAGCCUGAUCCAGGCAUACCGCGUGGGUGAAGAAGGCCUUCGGGUUGUAAAGCCCUUUUGUUGGGAAAGAAAAGCAGCAGGUUAAUACCCCGCUGUUCUGACGGUACCCAAAGAAUAAGCACCGGCUAACUUCGUG